AAGACUAUAGACCUGCGGAGUACCUGCGGAGGGAUCAUUAAUGAGAAACUGCCCCUCGCGGGUAGAUCUCCCACCCUUUGUAAACUUACCUUUGUUGCUUUGGCAGGCCCGUCUCCGGACCGCCGGCUUCGGCUGGCCAGUGCCUGCCAGAGGAUUCUAAAACUCUGUCUGUCAGUGUUGUCUGAGUCUAUAUACAAUCGUUAAAACUUUUAACAACGGAUCUCUAGAUCGGAAGAGCAC
rnacentral:misc_RNA from 1 species